rnacentral:rRNA from 1 species
AGUGAACGCUGGCGGUAGGCCUAACACAUGCAAGUCGAACGGCAGCACAGUAAGAGCUUGCUCUUACGGGUGGCGAGUGGCGGACGGGUGAGGAAUACAUCGGAAUCUACUUUUUCGUGGGGGAUAACGUAGGGAAACUUACGCUAAUACCGCAUACGACCUACGGGUGAAAGCAGGGGAUCUUCGGACCUUGCGCGACUGAAUGAGCCGAUGUCGGAUUAGCUAGUUGGCGGGGUAAAGGCCCACCAAGGCGACGAUCCGUAGCUGGUCUGAGAGGAUGAUCAGCCACCCUGGAACUGAGACACGGUCCAGACUCCUGCGGGAGGCAGCAGUGGGGAAUAUUGGACAAUGGGCGCAAGCCUGAUCCAGCCAUACCGCGUGGGUGAAGAAGGCCUUCGGGUUGUAAAGCCCUUUUGUUGGGAAAGAAAAGCAGCAGGUUAAUACCCCGCUGUUCUGACGGUACCCAAAGAAUAAGCACCGGCUAACUUCGUG